rnacentral:rRNA from 1 species
CCCUUAGAUGUUCUGGGCUGCACGCGUGCCACACUGAUUACUUCAACAAGUGUUUUAACUGGAGAGUUCGCGUAAUCCUGAAAUGUUAUCGUGAUGGGAGUAGAGUAUUGUAUUGUUAAUCUUUAACGAGGAAUUCCUAGUAAGUGUAGGUUUAUAAGUUGUUCUGAUUACGUCCCUGCCCUUUGUACACACCGCCCGUCGCUCCUACCGAUUGAUUGAUCCGGUGAAUUACAUAGAAUUUUGCGUUUUACAUGACGGAAGAUGAAGUGUUUUAAACCUUAUCGUUUAGAGGAAGGAGAAGUCGUAACA